rnacentral:rRNA from 1 species
UCAGGAUGAACGCUAGCUACAGGCUUAACACGAUGCAAGUCGAGGGGAAACGAUAUUGGAAGCUUGCUUCCGAUAGGCGUCGACCGGCGCACGGGUGAGUAACGCGUAUCCAACCUGCCCAUCACUUGGGAAUAACCUUGCGAAAGUAAGACUAAUGCCCAAUGACAUUUAUAGAAGGCAUCUGAAAUGAUUAAAGAUUUAUCGGUGAUGGAUGGGGAUGCGUCUGAUUAGCUUGUUGGCGGGGUAACGGCCCACCAAGGCGACGAUCAGUAGGGGUUCUGAGAGGAAGGUCCCCCACAUUGGAACUGAGACACGGUCCAAACUCCUACGGGAGGCAGCAGUGAGGAAUAUUGGUCAAUGGGCGAGAGCCUGAACCAGCCAAGUAGCGUGCAGGAAGACGGCCCUAUGGGUUGUAAACUGCUUUUAUAGGGGAAUAAAGUGAGCCACGUGUGGUUUUUGCAUGUACCCUAUGAAUAAGGACCGGCUAAUUCCGUGCC